UUGUGCCAGUUCGUCUUCUCCUGUCUGAGUCAGUAACCAGCGUACCAGCAUUGUGUUUUUUAAUCCUCCAUGUGAGCGUCUUGAGUUCUUGUUGUUUUUUUGCAUUUUUUUGGGAAAUAAAGUAUUUUUUUAAUACUUUAACUCUGUCUCCUGGGGUCGUGCAUUUGAGUCCUACUACCUUGUGUUUAAGGUUCGUGACAAACCGUGAUCUCAUUGUGCUGGAGUCAACAAUAGUCCCAUGAGCACCACAGGCACCGGGGCAUCAGCGGUGGAGUCUGGAUGAGGGUGCACUAACCUGCAGGGGCCCGCUGGCUGGCAUGGUGGAUCUCAGCGACGUCAGGUCGAUGUCUCGGCCCUGCUCCCCUCUCUCUGUCUUCCCAAGUCCCUGCAUAAUAAGUCCCGAAUCGUGCAAGCAACCAAGCACACACACACUCGCACACUCAAGUGUUACCCCCACAGCGGUGAAAAUGCUAAUGCAAGGAUGGCAGUGGUCGCUAUGAAAGGAAAUGACCCUUGACGCCAGGCACCAAGCACCAGGCCGGAGAGGACAGCCGAGAGACAAACAAACAGCUUAUUCACCCGCUCCCUCCCUCUCUUUCUCACUCUAUUCUCCACUUGUACCAAAUCUAGGUUGGCAAAAUGCUGGAAAUUGACAUCGGGGUGAAAACCAAGCAAAUAUUGUCCAAGUGUUAGACUGCUACCAAAUCUUAAGUUAGUCUUGUCCCUUUCCAUGAUUCUAUUUGAAUUUCCAAACCAAUAAACGGUUUGGAAAGUAGUGUGUAUUUGUGCUUGUUUGCUCAAUAAAAACAUUCUGCUGUAUAUCUGUUAAGUUAACUGAGGUCAGAUGCCUUCUUGUAAAAGCACAGAGGCUCCACUGUUGGGAUUUUACAGCUCUCUGAACCAGGGAACCCCGGGCCCCCAGGUAACAGGGACCCACAUAUACCAUAUGAUAGAGGCCAUGUAACAUCAUUAGUGUAAGAGACAAAUAUCUGUAAACCAGGGGUGUCCAAACUUUUUUUACUGAGGGCCCCAUAAAGACAAAUAUAGGCUGGGUCCCUCACUAGA